rnacentral:pre_miRNA from 1 species
UUAACUUAAAUUUGUAUGCAGUUGGAACAGCGCCCCUAGCGGCAAACGUAGGCAAACGUUCCAACUCCAUACAAGUUUGAGUUA